rnacentral:rRNA from 1 species
CCUACGGGAGGCUGCAGUGAGGAAUAUUGGACAAUGGGCGAAAGCCUGAUCCAGCCAUGCCGCGUGAGUGAUGAAGGCCUUCGGGUUGUAAAGCUCUUUCGACGGGGAAGAUAAUGACCGUACCCGUAGAAGAAGCCACGGCUAAAUUCGUGCCAGCAGCCGCGGUAAUACGAAUGUGGCAAGCGUUGUUCGGAAUCACUGGGCGUAAAGAAUGCGUAGGCGGCUUGACAAGUCAGAAGUGAAAUCCCAGGGCUCAACCCUGGAACUGCUUUUGAAACUGUUGGGCUAGUGUCCCGGAGGGGUUGAUGGAAUUCCGAGUGUAGAGGUGAAAUUCGCAGAUAUUCGGAGGAACACCAGUGGCGAAAGCGAUCAACUGGACGGGUACAGACGCUGAGGCACGAAAGUGUGGGGAUCAAACAGGAUUAGAUACCCCUGUAGUC